AGACCAGGACCAGAGUUAUAGUCAGGGCCUAUAGGGAGAAUAUAACUAGACCAGGACCAGAGUUAUAGUUAGGGUCUAUAGGGAGAAUAUAAAUAGACCAGAGUUAUAGAUAGGGCCUAUAGGGAGAAUAUAACUAGACCAGGGCCAGAGUUAUAGUUAGGGCCUAUAGGGAGAAUAUAACUAGACCAGAGUUAUAGUUAGGGUCUACAGGGAGAAUAAAACUAGACCAGGACCAGAGAUAUAGUUAGGGCCAAUGGUGAGAAUAUAACUAGACCAGGACCAGAGUUAUAGUUAGGGCCUAUAGGGAGGAUAUAACUACACCAGGACCAGAGUUAUAGUUAGGGCCUAUAGGGAGGAUAUAACUAGACCAGAGAUAUAGUUAGGGUCUAUAGGGAGAAUAUAACUAGACCAGAGUUAUAGUUAGGGCCUAUAGGGAGUAUAUAACUAGACCAGGACCAGAGUUAUAGUUAGGGUCUACAGGGAGAAUAUAACUAGACCAGGACCAGAGUUAUAGUUAGGGCCUAUAGGGAGGAUAUAACUAGACCAGAGUUACAGUUAGGGCCUAUAGGGAGGAUAUAACUAGACCAGAGUUACAGUUAGGGCCUAUAGGGAGGAUAUAACUGGACCAGGACCAGAGGUAUAGUUGGGGCCUAUAGGGAGAAUAUAACUAGACCAGGACCAGAGUUAUAGUUAGGGCCUAUAGGGAGAAUAUAACUAGACCAGGACCAGAGUUAUAGUUAGGGCCUAUGGGGAGAAUAUAACUAGACCAGGACCAGAGUUAUAAUUGGGGCCUAUAGGGAGAAUAUAACUG
rnacentral:lncRNA from 1 species